GUAUCUUUAAACUAGCCUUGCAGCUCAUUAAGGUAACUGUAAGAAAAAACGUUAUGACCUGAAGUACCUGCAAUGUCCCUGUUUGCAUUUCAUCUCCUGUAUCAUCUGCAGUCUACCAUCUGAUCUGCUACUGACACUGCAAAUGACUUCCUGAUCCAACAGAGAACUAUUUCUUUUAGCUUCUUAAGUACCAACUUACAAUGAUUUCAUCUUCAGCACAUUUCCCAAGUUUGUUUACUGAGCUGUUGGGAUUUCCUCAAGAAGUACUCUACAACUUUUUGAACUUCUUUGGUAAAGUCACUAAAACACAAGACCUGGUAUGAGACUGCCUAACAGUUCUGCAGGCUCUCCAUCCUUCACGAGAACUUGGGAGGUAUCACAGCUAAGGGCUGGCAACUCAAGACAGUAUGAGUUCUGAAGUUACUUGAAAUUUUCUUUAAAGUCAGCUCAAGCAAAUCAUCCAUUCCCCAUUUAGGAUCAGCAUCACAGUUUUUCAAGUCUUACCUACCCAGCUCUCUGCUGCUAUUUCCUGUGGCUGAGCUAAGACUUCAGGGCUGCAGGCACUUACAAAGAAAAGCUCAUGCCCAAUGGGUUAAGAGUUGUUAUUUUCAUUAACUUUAAAUCAUAAAUAUGAUUUCCACUUGAAAAGGGAACACUUCAUUUAACAGACACAGUGGCUCUGAUGGGUAAUGAAGGGUUUCGAAGGAAAUUAAAAAAAGGGAAGCAAGGGGGAAAAGAAAAAUAACACUUCCAGAAAGUUUUCCGAAGGAAAUGAGUAACCACUUGUUAUUAAAUGAUAAAUCACAGUCCUCAGGAAGGGGCAUUGUCUGUGGUCUAUUUUUAAUGAGAAAAUACCCGUCACUGGCACAAGGGCGAUAUGGGACACAUCUGUGGACAGUGGGAGUGUUCACUGCGAGGUAUCAUCUCACUGCUGCUAUUCCCAUCACUUAUCAGCAACAAAAACAGGAUGAAAAGAACAUGGCUUAGAGGGAAAAAAAUGCAUCCAGGGCAACAAACAAGGGCUGCUGUUCUCCAUGGAUGGAAGACAGGAGGAAACACUAGAGACCCAGGAGAGGCUGAGUGUAGUCUUAGGCUUUGCUUGUUUUCCUGUGUGAGGGAUGCACAUGAAGCCACCAGGAAGCAAAUCUGUGCUGACCCAAAUGUCUCUGGGGGGGGGUUAGGUAACCUCCAACAUGCAAUUGCAUCCUCUUUGUCCCCAGGAUGGGGACACAUUAGGUACACAGCCAAAAGAAGCCCUCUUUUCCCUAAGAUUUGCAACUAACACAGAGUUUUCUGGGGAAGCACCUGAUGCUGCAACACCACUGAUGCUGAACACUUGAAAGGUGUAAUUAGCCUGAUUUUAUGCUGAUAAAUGAGUCCCAGAUUCUGGUGGCAAAGUGACUCGGCAGCUGGGAACAGACACACUGUCAAGGGAAGGGAAGCAAAAGACAGUAGAGUUAGCUGGAGGUUCAGGUAUAAGCACAGCCUCAAAACAAAAUCAGUGGCCCAGACCUGGCCAUCAGGCAGCAAGACUCCCUGCACACCGCUGAAGAGAUCAUUUUUGGCAUCUUAUGUCAAGCCCAACUCUCCCAAGUCCCAGCCCAAGCAAUGGGGUUCAGCUGCAGCCCAGGUUCCCCAUGCAUUCAACACAUUCUGUCCCAACACCACACACCCCCACAAACUUUCCAGACUGCAGCAGUAACGAGCAGAAACCUAUGGCCAAUGUGCUGAAAUACCAUGCACUAUGCCUGAUUUUACUGUGAGGGUGACCAAGCUUGCUCAGGAAGAUUGUGGAGUCCCCAUCUGUGGAGAUAUGCAAAAGCCAUCUGGACAUGGUCCUGGGCAACUGGCUGAAGCUACCUACCACCUGCACAGGUCCCUUCCAGCUUCAGCCAUCCUGUGACUUUUUAAUUGCAAAGCCACCUGCAUUGCAAUCCUUCGCUUUCACUGACCCACAAAAAAGACUGUAAUUAUUCAGUUUCUCAACUAUUGCUGACAUUCUUUCCAUAGAUGAGGUUUAAGCCUUUUUUCUCCCUUUUCUUUUUAAUAGGAACUUAGCCCCAAAGUUCACAGCAGAUUAUAAAACAUGCACACACACAUCACUCUUCCAAAACAGCAUUUUAAAGUGUUUGCUUGAUUUUCUUUUUCCUGACACCCAUAAACCACCACCCUGCUGGUCUAAUUCAUUGUGUGGCAUUUUGCAACGAAGCGUAAAAUGGUAUUAAUCAUAGCUCUGAAAAAACACAAACUUCUUCUCUGAGGUUUGAAAUAACCAUUUGGAAGAAAAACUUCCAGGAGCCAGAAGGACUGACAGGGCUGGAGACUGAAGUCCUUGUUUUCAAAGGCCAAGUGUAUCCCAAUAUAUCCCUUGGACAGUUGCCCCAAGCCAGAGUUAUAAUACUUUAUUCUUCAGUUCAAGUAGCAAGAAGGAGAUUUGGUACAAAAUCAGUACAAAUACCUAAAGGGAAUAGGGAGGAAAAUGUGUGGUAAAUCUAAUGGGAGGCCUGAGCUCAGACUGCAGCUUUGGUGAAAGUGUCUGAAGCCUCAGCUGCCUCUCAUCUCCAGGAUGUUGCAGCCAGAAAGACCAGAUAAGGGUACCCCCCUCUCACAGGCAGCACCUGAGCAUCAGGGACAGUGUGCUGGCACUCACCAAUGGCAUAGUGUUGCCUCAGCCACAGGCAGAAGCACAGAGAUCUGCAAAGGCUAUGCCAAAAAAUAAAAAUCAUUAUCAUCUUUGUUUUCUGGCCAAACACCACUGGAGAAAAUUACCUUCUACAUAAAUCAAGUUCUUUGUUCACUUUUGUGGAUUCAGUGCUUCUCACAGAAGGGGAGCUUCUGUCAAAGACGGAGUCAGAAAAAAACAUGAAACUCUUUUUUAAGAUAGAUGCUUUAGCAGCUAUUUGCCAAAGGCUUUGGAAUCCCUCUGCUUCAGUGCUAAAACAUUAAUAAUUUAAACACCUUCUUUUAAAUUAGGAAGGGCACUAAAAGAAACUAUUGAAAGAGAAAAACCAUCAAGCUUGCCACCACCUCCAACUCAAAUACUGACAUUUUCUCUCAAACCUCAAAAGUAGUUUCAACAACCUGAUAAAUGAGAAAUUUACGUUUUUCUUACCUGUCCUUCCCUCACACUUUCUCCUCUGCCAUUAAUCUUCCAGGCAAAGCAGCUGACCACAGGGCACACCAAUCAUCCCAGUACAAAAAGACCCAGCAUGCUGUAACCAGGGGCAGGGGUGGUGCAAACAGUUGUAAAAUGUUUCACAGGGCAUGGCAAACAUUUCGUGUUUAUUAUUAUAUUAGUGGGGUGGGAUGGGAUGGGAUUAGGAUAGGAUAGGAUAGGAUAGGAUAGGAUAGGAUAGGAUAGGAUAGGAUAGGAUAGGAUAGGAUAGGAUAGGAUAGGAUAGGAUAGGAUAGUUGGAAGGGACUGCAAGCAUCCUUCUGGUUCAACUGCAAGUACUUUGUGUUAGAAGAGCAAGACAGAGAGAGCAAGACAGAGGGAGAGAGAAAAUAAUUAUUUUCUCUUCUUUUUAAUCUGUAACCCCAGGCUCCUGUGCAUGAUGAAGUUCCCUGCUUAUUCAAAGCCUCUACGCCUCUGCCUGUCUCAGCUACCAAUGCCUUCCUUAUCAGCACAUUUUAUUCUUUUCUAUUCUUUGAAGAGCUCUGCAAAUUGAAAAAAGUGUAUUAUCUUCAUAUUUAAGAGAAAAAAAAAAAGGCUGGCAGAGGAAGGUGUACCUCACUAUCAAGGCUUUUGCAAGAGCAGGAACAAUGUGGCAGGCCAAGAUCCAUGCUGUCUACACAGACCCCAUCAGGGACCCCACCUCCUGCAGCAGCAGCUGGCCCAGGCACAAACCUCUGUCCUGGUAUCAAGGUGGCCAGACAAAAGCACACACUUGGAGACACAUCCCCCCUCUCCCAUGAAGAUGUAUGAACUUCAGAUGGAUUUGGACCAGUCCAAAUUUGAAAAGAUGUGUACAGUCAGGGGGCACCAUCCAUUUACUCCAUACCACGUCUUCUCUUGAAGAAAACCUCUUUGAUUUGAGUCUCCACUGCAGCCAUGCAAGCAAUGGAAAAAUGCAACCUUACGUCUCUCCAAAGGAUGCUUAGACACAUCUCUUCCUCGGGGGAAAAACGAGGAUUAACUAUUCAAAACCUACAUGCCAGGCAAUCUGGUGACCAAGUGCCUCCCCCCGAUAGCUUUUCCAGACAGUCAUGAACUUUAAACUAUUUUUUGUCUCCAACUCUCAGCAGCUCCUAAACAGUGUGAGCUAAAUAUUUAUAGAAGAAUCACUGUUUGUUUAAGUUCCAAUCCAUACUCCCUGAAGUCCAAUACGCCCAGAUCCUGAAAUGACAGCUGAUUACAGAAGAGCCUGAAAACAACGCAGAGGGGACACUGAGACUUACCAGAUCUUUCAUCUGGAUGUUUUCUCCACUGGUUGUUUUGGGGAGCCUUUCCCAGCUUCUUUCAAAAGAAGAGGAACUGCAGCUCUUGCCAGCCAAGAUCCAUGCUUCAUCAGACACUUUGGCACAGCUCUGCUCAAUGACAGAGAGCCCCAGGUUUUGGGGAGCCCCCACUGUGCUCCAGAGCUAGGCACAUGGAUUGCUGCUGGAAAUGCAAUGGAAGCACCCAAGCUGCAGAACAGCAGGCACUAAGGCACGGGAGAACACCCCAACACCAGUGCCACAGCUGGGGCACAGACAAUGUCUGUCACUCUGUCACUUCAGCUUAACAAGUUCUACCCUCACUCAUCUCUUCCGGACUCAGCAACAGCUUUUCCAAUUUACCAUGGCGUCCACUCCACCUGAACAAAACAGUCCUCCCAUACCUUACAAAAGAACUAAGGAUACCCACACCUUCUGCCUAACUAAACAGCCUGUCAGAAGUUGAAAAGACACCUGUAUAAGCUGACACACUACUGCUAUAAUAGCAGUAUAUACUAGCCAAGUCCAACAAGUCAGCUCCUUACAUAUGCUGUUGCACAGUUUCAUGGGUGAGGCAAGAAAAAAAUAAAACUGUGCUUCAUCCCCUGUAAUCAUGUGUGACCAUAGUUGCCCUUUUGGAAUGUAACUGGGGACUCAUCACCACAAAGGAGCACACAAGAUGCAAGGCUACCAAGCAGGCACAACUCUAUGACAACACAUCCCAAAUGAACAUCUCACCCUGCAGACCUCAGUGUCCAGCUUUAGAGGGACAGCAGAGGCUGGGAGACAACACCCAAGCAAACACACUUCCAAUGACCACCCAAGGCCGAUGUGUCUUUGCUAAAGUCCAGAGACCUCAAACCAGCACCUACUUUGAACAUGCCCUUGGAUGACUAGAUGUUGCUGAAGAACUCAAAAACCCCUCUGACAGCUGCUGCUGUGUCUAUCCCAUCAAGAUGAAUUCUUCCACUGCAGCAAUAUGGGACUCAGCAAAGUUGCUCCAUCCUGGGGUUCUCCAAGGGCUAGAAGGACUCCUUGCACAGGGUGUUUCAAGGCAUUUAGCCCCAAUAAAAUAGAAAAUGUGGUUUUCAA